UAAAGAUGGCAAGAACCUUUUUUCUGUCUCUCUCUUUCUCUAUAUUUCUUCUUUAUGAGUCCACUUGGUGAACAAACAUUGGGAAUGCGUUAAACACAUUACUUUUGAUGAGUUGUCAAUUUGCAAAGUGCCACAUCCACAUGAAAGUUGGCGUUGGACACUCUUUGUUGUUCAUUAUCCACAUUCUUUCUUGUGUUUUCCUUGUGCCCUAAAACCUUAACCAUUUCACCCUCUCUUUCCCCUCUAUUUAAACCAUUUUCUCUUCUGCAUUAUUCUCUACUCAUAACUACAAUCUCUAAAACCUAACCAAACAUCUGAUAUCUACAUCUCUUCUGAUAUCUCUUUCUUUCUCAACAAUAUGGUAUCUAUUUCCAAGUUGGUUGCUUCAACGAUGAUCAAGAAUAAUGCUUGUGAAGAUCUCAAGUGUAGCCGACAAUUCUCUACUAAUCUAACUACAACUAUUAUAAGACGAGAAGGUGAUGACGACGACGACGAUGGAGGUUACGAUUACGCUCCAGCUGCAUGAGUUAUGACUAUAGUUUACAUUGUUUUCUUGUUUACUUUUCUUAAAGUGAAUAGGGAGAUAUCUAGAAAAAUAGGGUUUCAUUUUAGCCAAGUUAAUCAAUAUAUUGUAACUCAAGAUUUAUAUAUAUAAAUUGCCCCCUUCCUUUUAUCUAGUAUAUGUUGAGCUUUCAUAGAUUUAAAAUCUAGAGGUGACGUGUGUUCACUGUCACUCUAAUACUUCACACAACUUUUCCCUCUUAUAUUUAAAUAUCAUCUCCUAAUCUAUUUGCUACUCAAUAACUCAAUUCAAACUUAUCAACACGUUUCGCUCGCUACAACAAUAUGAAGAACAAUGUUUGUUAAGGUGUCAAGCACUGCACACAAGAGUAUGACUACUUGUCCAAAACAUUUGUCACAGGACGGGACUACGAUAAGGACAAUGAUGAAAGUCAUGACUUUGCUCAAGGCCUUGCUUUUAUAAUUUACGAAUAUUAUUGUUUACAUGAUAUUGUUGACAACAUUUUAAGUAUUGUCAUAGCUUUUUAUUUUAUUAGAAUUGAG
rnacentral:lncRNA from 1 species